AACGAACGCUGGCGGCAUGCCUAAUACAUGCAAGUCGAACGAGAUCUUCGGAUCUAGUGGCGCACGGGUGCGUAACGCGUGGGAAUCUGCCCUUGGGUUCGGAAUAACUUCUGGAAACGGAAGCUAAUACCGGAUGAUGACGUAAGUCCAAAGAUUUAUCGCCCAAGGAUGAGCCCGCGUAGGAUUAGCUAGUUGGUGGGGUAAAGGCCCACCAAGGCGACGAUCCUUAGCUGGUCUGAGAGGAUGAUCAGCCACACUGGGACUGAGACACGGCCCAGACUCCUACGGGAGGCAGCAGUAGGGAAUAUUGGACAAUGGGCGAAAGCCUGAUCCAGCAAUGCCGCGUGAGUGAUGAAGGCCUUAGGGUUGUAAAGCUCUUUUACCCGGGAUGAUAAUGACAUUACCGGGAGAAUAAGCUCCGGCUAACUCCGUG
rnacentral:rRNA from 1 species